rnacentral:tRNA from 1 species
GCGGGAGUAGCUCAGUUGGUAGAGCGGUAGCCUUCAAGCUACAUGUCGCGAGUUCGACCCUCGUCUCCCGCUCCA